rnacentral:rRNA from 1 species
AGUAACGCGUGAGGAACCUGCCUUCCAGGAGGGGGACAACAGGUUAGGAAAACGACUGCUAAAUACCGCAUGAUGCGUUGGAGCCGCAUGACUCCGACGUACAAAGUAUUUUAUCGCUGGAGAUGGCCUCGCGUCUGAUUAGCUAGUUGGUGAGGUAACGGCCCACCAAGGCGACGAUCAGUAGCCGGACUGAGAGGUUGGCCGGCCACAUUGGGACUGAGAUACGGCCCAGACUCCUACGGAAGGCAGCAG